UACGAGGGGGGCGAGCGUUGUUCGGAAUUAUUGGGCGUAAAGGGUGCGUAGGCGGUUUGGUAAGUCUUGUGUGAAAUCUACAGGCUCAACUUGUAGUCUGCACGAGAAACUGCCGGGCUUGAGUAUGGGAGAGGUGAGUGGAAUUCCUGGUGUAGCGGUGAAAUGCGCAGAUAUCAGGAGGAACACCGGUGGCGAAGGCGGGUCUCUGGGUAGUAACUGACGCUGAGGAACGAAAGCGUGGGUAGCGAACAGG
rnacentral:rRNA from 1 species